rnacentral:lncRNA from 1 species
GGAAACAGUGGUAAUACUAUUGUAGCUCACUUUCCAAAGUUCUCACCAAAAUGGCUAUUUGAAUUCAAGCAUGGCAUGAAAACACUUUGUGUUUGUUAUGUGCAUACAUGCACAAAUGUGUGCAUAUUACAUGCACACAUUAGCACAGUGCAGAUUAAGUACCAAAAUAUACCAAAAUAAUGGUUAAUUGCCUUACUUAUAAACUAAUGUUUUUUAAUUUUAAAGGUGAUCAUUUUAUUUUAGAAUCAGGAAAUGAAAAGGAGGUGGUUCUCCUUGCCCAAAAAAGGAAGUGUUUACUUAUAUGAUACCCAUAGGAUCAUCUUCGCGGGUGCGACCAUACCCCAGGGAGGCCACAGUGGAGACCAGGACAGUAAUCAUGGAAGAGCCUGUCCCAAGCCUCUGGAGGCUGCCCACCGGGAGCUCUCUGCUGCUCUCCCCAACAUACUCUCCUCUUGCUUCUCUGAAAUAGAUUUCUUCAAUGAGAAUCCCAGAGGCCACACAUCAGAGAUGAAUGACAGAUUUGAAAUAAAAGAACAAUAACUCAUCACAGCCAAGGAGGUGUAAAAGCACCUGUUUCUGCAGUAUUGGCCCUCAGGGUGUUGUGGAAUUAUAAGGAGGAAGGACCUCUUUCUUGGUAUGCUGGUUCAAUUCUAAAACCUCACCAAGAUGCCUGCUUUUAGCUGGAGCAGACCAGUGCA